rnacentral:rRNA from 1 species
AACGAACGCUGGCGGCAUGCCUAACACAUGCAAGUCGAACGAGACCUUCGGGUCUAGUGGCGAACGGGUGCGUAACGCGUGGGAACCUGCCCUUAGGUUCGGAAUAACUCCCCGAAAGGGGUGCUAAUACCGGAUAAUGUCUUCGGACCAAAGAUUUAUCGCCUUUGGAUGGGCCCGCGUUGGAUUAGCUAGUUGGUAGGGUAAAAGCCUACCAAGGCGACGAUCCAUAGCUGGUCUGAGAGGAUGAUCAGCCACACUGGGACUGAGACACGGCCCAGACUCAUACGGGAGGCAGCAGUGGGGAAUAUUGGACAAUGGGCGAAAGCCUGAUCCAGCGAUGCCGGGUGAGUGAUGAAGGGCUUAGGGGUGGAAAGCUCUUUUACACGGGAUGAUAAUGACAGUACCGGGAGAAUAAGCCCCGGCUAACUCCGUG